GAACGGGGAGGAGCCCAGAGCCUGAAUCAGUGUGUGUGUUAGUGGAAGCGUCUGGAAAGGCGCGCGAUACAGGGUGACAGCCCCGUACACAAAAAUGCACAUGCUGUGAGCUCGAUGAGUAGGGCGGGACACGUGGUAUCCUGUCUGAAUAUGGGGGGACCAUCCUCCAAGGCUAAAUACUCCUGACUGACCGAUAGUGAACCAGUACCGUGAGGGAAAGGCGAAAAGAACCCCGGCGAGGGGAGUGAAAAAGAACCUGAAACCGUGUACGUACAAGCAGUGGGAGCACGCUUAGGCGUGUGACUGCGUACCUUUUGUAUAAUGGGUCAGCGACUUAUAUUCUGUAGCAAGGUUAACCGAAUAGGGGAGCCGAAGGGAAACCGAGUCUUAACUGGGCGUUAAGUUGCAGGGUAUAGACCCGAAACCCGGUGAUCUAGCCAUGGGCAGGUUGAAGGUUGGGUAACACUAACUGGAGGACCGAACCGACUAAUGUUGAAAAAUUAGCGGAUGACUUGUGGCUGGGGGUGAAAGGCCAAUCAAACCGGGAGAUAGCUGGUUCUCCCCGAAAGCUAUUUAGGUAGCGCCUCGUGAAUUCAUCUCCGGGGGUAGAGCACUGUUUCGGCAAGGGGGUCAUCCCGACUUACCAACCCGAUGCAAACUGCGAAUACCGGAGAAUGUUAUCACGGGAGACACACGGCGGGUGCUAACGUCCGUCGUGAAGAGGGAAACAACCCAGACCGCCAGCUAAGGUCCCAAAGUCAUGGUUAAGUGGGAAACGAUGUGGGAAGGCCCAGACAGCCAGGAUGUUGGCUUAGAAGCAGCCAUCAUUUAAAGAAAGCGUAAUAGCUCACUGGUCGAGUCGGCCUGCGCGGAAGAUGUAACGGGGCUAAACCAUGCAC
rnacentral:rRNA from 1 species